GCAUCUCUGCCAACUCUAGAGAGUUUAGAUAUCUACUUAUUUAUAUCUACAUCUAUCUAUAUUUAUAUUAAACAAAAGUGACAGGACAUGGUAAUAGAUGCAAUGUAUAGGUGAAUUAGAGAGAGGUAUCAAGCUUGACUCCCAGGUUUCUGAUAGAAUGGCUGAAUUGAUGGCAAUACCUUUCACUGAGAGGAAACAUUGGCAGAAAACCAGUUUUGAAUGAAGAGGAUGCUUCCUUUUCCUUCUGACAUGAGUGGAACCAGCCAUAGGCCCUCAUCAGAGGCAGAUGCUGGCACUUUGCUUCUCGUACAGCCUGCAGAAUGUUAAUACUCUUGGAUAAUGUAUUUAAGGAUGCUUAAGAAAUUGCAACAGCCAGUUCAACCUUCAGCAACCACCAUACUGAUCAGUAGUCAUCAACAUUGAGACGAGACUGUACACCAGCAAAAAGAUCCCAACUCAAUGAAGGCUCAGAUGAUUUUAGCAUUUUUUUAGCAAUAAAGCAUUUUUAAAUUAAACUAUAUACAUUGUUGUUUUAGACAAGUUUUUGCACAUUCAGAAUACAGUAAAGUGUAAACAUGACUUUUAUAUACACUGGGGAAACCAAAAAAUUUGUGUGACUUACUUUAUUGCAAUAUUUGUUUUAUUGUGCUGAUCUGGAGCUAAAUAUAUCUGAGAUAUGCUUGUACUGAUGAUUAUUUUAACACCAAGAUAUUUUAAAAUUCAUUAAAUAAAUGUUUAUUUAAAUAGACCUCUAGCAUACAUUUACUGGUAACUAAAGGCUUUGUUAACAAAGGGAAAUACUAAAUUAUU
rnacentral:lncRNA from 1 species